UGGAAAAGUUAUAUUUAUUAUAUUUUGUCACAACGCAUUUAUUAAGUCGCAGAGAAGACUGCUGAGCAGUCGAUGGAAGGUACUGUAACAUGGUGGGGUGUUGUGGUAGAGAACAGUCAGUCCAUGGAGGGUAACACGGUGGGGUGUUGUGGUAGAGAACAGUCAGUCCAUGGAGGGUAACACGGUGGGGUGUUAUGGUAGAGAACAGUCAGUCCAUGGAGGGUAACACGGUGGGGUGUUGUGGUAGAGAACAGUCAGUCUAUGGAGGGUAACAUGGUGGGGUGUUAUGGUAGAGAAUAGUCAGUCCAUGGAGGGUAACACGGUGGGGUGUUGUGGUAGAGAACAGUCAGUCCAUGGAGGGUAACACGGUGGGGUGUUGUGGUAGAGAACAGUCAGUCCAUGGAGGGUAACACGGUGGGGUGUUGUGGUAGAGAAUAGUCAGUCCAUGGAGGGUAACACGGUGGGGUGUUGUUGUAGAGAACAGUCAGUCCAUGGAGGGUAACACGGUGGGGUGUUGUGGUAGAGAACGGUCAGUCCAUGGAGGGUAACACGUGGGGUGUUGUGGUAGAGAACAGUCAGUCCAUGGAGGGUAACACGUGGGGUGUUGUGGUAGAGAACAGUCAGUCCAUGGAGGGUAACACGUGGGGUGUUGUGGUAGAGAACAGUCAGUCCAUGGAGGGUAACACGGUGGGGUGUUGUGGUAGAGAACAGUCAGUCCAUGGAGGGUAACACGGUGGGGUGUUGUGGUAGAGAAUAGUCAGUCCAUGGAGGGUAACACGGUGGGGUGUUGUUGUAGAGAACAGUCAGUCCAUGGAGGGUAACACGGUGGGGUGUUGUGGUAGAGAACGGUCAGUCCAUGGAGGGUAACACGUGGGGUGUUGUGGUAGAGAACAGUCAGUCCAUGGAGGAUAACACAGUGGGGUGUUGUGGUAGAUAACAGUCAGUCCAUGGAGGGUAACACGGUAGGGUGCUGUUGUAGAGAACAGUCAGUCCAUGGAGAAUAACACAGUGGGGUGUUGUGGUAGAGAACAGUCAGUCCAUGGAGGGUAACAUGGUGGGGUGUUAUGGUAGAGAACAGUCAGUCCAUGGAGGGUAACACGUGGGGUGUUGUGGUAGAGAACAGUCAGUCCAUGGAGGAUAACACAGUGGGGUGUUGUGGUAGAUAACAGUCAGUCCAUGGAGGGUAACACAGUGGGGUGUUGUGGUAGAGAACAGUCAGUCCAUGGAGGGUAACAUGGUGGGGUGUUGUGGUGGAGAACAGUGAUUCCCAACCUUUUAUAUUCCAGUGAUCCCUUAUGUAACAUAGACCACAGUGGAGAUGCCUCAUUCUCCUGUCAGUAGGGUCUCUUCAUACGAUUCAUUUCAAUAGAUACUGCAUAAGUUUACAGUGCAUCCCGAAAGUAUUCAGACCCAUUGACUUUUUCCACGUUUUGUUACAUAACUGCAUUAUGCUAAAAUUGAUUAAAUUGUUCAGUGUGUCAGACUUCAACUACUACAGGCCUCUGUUCUUAUUGAGAUUAAAGAGAAAUAAGAAUUGAAACAAUGGAAACAUACAGUGCCUUCAGAAAGUAUUCAGACCCCUUGACUUUUUCCACAUUUUGUUAGGUUACAGCCUUAUUCUAAAAUUGACGAAAAAUAGUUUUUUUCCCCCUCAUCAAUCUACACACAAUAUCCAAUAAUGACAUCACAAUAUCCAAUAAUGACAUCACAAUACCCAAUAAUGACAUCACAAUACCCAAUAAUGACAUCACAAUAUCCAAUAAUGACAUCACAAUACCCAAUAAUGACAUCACAAUACCCAAUAAAGAUAUCACAAUACCCAAUAAUGAUGAAGCAAAAACAGGUUUUUAGACAUUUUUGCUCAUUUAUAAAAAAUAAAAAAAUGGAAAUAUCACAUUUACAUCAGUAUUCAGACCCUUU
rnacentral:lncRNA from 1 species